AGUGCAGUACAUUACAUAUAAUGCUUAUAAAUGCGCAAUUAGAUUUAACAUUAGGGGCAAUUAUGGGACGGCAUUUCCCUAAACUUAUUUCUUAACCUUAGUAGGUUUAUUAAUAGUUUAAUUUGGAAAUAAUGAAUUUCGGGAAAUUAUUGUUCCAUGGACGACCAUAAACUAAAAUGACAAUGAUUUUAACUUUAUUUGAAAAGUAGUUCAUAUUGGCCCUUACAAUAAUACUAACGCUGUGAUAUCAAAUUGAAAUUUUAAUUUUAGAGAUAGGAUUAGAGAAAUUACGUCUCAGAAUCGACCCCGUUAUAGUUUAUGUUAUAUGUUGAGGAGAUAUCAUUUUUUCUUUAAUUGCCCCAAGUUAAAGCAACAUUAUUUGCACGCAGUUGUAUAGAAAGGUUUUAAAAUACAAAAAAUAAUAAUAAUAUAAACAAUGCAAAUUUGGACAAACAUAAGCAAGUAUUUAAUUUAAAUAAAAAAAAUCACAAAUCGUAUUUUGUAAGUAAAAAUAAUUAGAAUUGUAAUGAAAAUAGAACAUAAACAAAAAUGGUUGCAUAGUAUAAAGCAACUCUCGACUGGUUAGCGCGACUCGUUCCGUUUCCAUAACGUAAUAGCAUUUCACUUUCAUUUCCUUAAUCUCAUUGUCUAAUGAAUGCUCGGGUUGGAUAACUUGCGAAUUUCAUCCAAAGAUGUUAUAUGCAUUACGUAAACUUAACAGAUCGGCUUCUGUGAGAAUCGUUUUAAUUGCAUCUCUUAAUUUAAUUUCAUGUUUGUUAUUGAAAUUUUAUUUUGUAAAGUGAGAGGUUCUCACAUUGUGUUAAUGUCUAACCUUUGCCGAGUGUCUUAAGCUUUGUGAAUCAAAUUGAAAAAAACAAAGAACUUUAAAAAUAAAAUUGCCGUGUAACUAUAAAGUUUACACAUUGAGUUGGGGUACCCUUGCAAAUAUCCUGUUUUUAACAGUUGUACUAUUAUUUAGUGAUCCGAUCUUGUAAUGUAGAUCCUAUUCUUAGGAAAUAUUUAUUAUUUCGCAGCAUCCUAAUAUUUAUUUAUUUUGAAUAAAUCCAUUACUAAAUAUAUACUAAUACAUUACGUAAUUUUUAAUAUAAUUGGCAUGCCAAUGAUAUAUUGAACACACAACCCAAGAAUUAAUUUUAUACAAUUACUAGCUUUUACCUGCGACUUCGUCCGCGUGAUCGGAAUAUAUUUACUGACCGAGAUAAAAAGUAGCUAUAGGCUACUUAUAUCCUUUUCCAUCUCAUUUAGUACGUGAAUGUCAAAUUUCAUAGUGAUUGGAUAAGUCGUUAAGGCGCUAUAAGGUAAUAAACAAACAACAAACUCGUUUUCUACAUUUGUAAUAUUAGUAACGACGCUUUACUAAAUUUUGUGUAUUUAUUUUUUCCCGUUUAUCGUCAUUUGUUUAAUUUGAUCAAAAAUCAUAUAUUUAUAACAUUACUGAAUUAAUUACUGUUAAAAUGUUUAUUUUAUCUAUAUAGAAAAACCUUAAAAUAAUUAUAAGGACAAUAACGGGCCAUUGCAUUUUAAAUAAACAUUUAUACUCGUUAGGGCUCACAGAUAUUCCUCUAUGUCGAGGCUGUUUUGACCCCGAAGAAACGACUGCUUACGUAAUCCUGAAAUGUGUAGCUGUGGCCCUUCAACGUUCAUAAAUUCAUGGAACAGUGAGGUCGCUCCGUGAGGCCUAUGGAGAUUCUAGGUAGCUUCUAUGCUUCAGGGCGGAGCUAGACUGGCUGUAAGAACUAAAGUACAUCUUUAAGAGGAACUUCAUUGUUCAUAUACCAUAGUGUGGGAACAUGGCCCACUAUCUUUGAAGGAAAAUUACCUAUAUUGGUAUACGGAUGGCUCCAAAAUGGCAACAGAUACGGAAGCUGGUAUCUUUUGAAGCGAAAGCGAAACAAGGCAUAUACUACACAAGAUGGAUCUAUCUUCAGACAUUCUAUGCAGAUUGUACAGUGAGAAAUCUGAUUCCAUGGAACACCUGAUGUAUAACUGUGAUUCUUAGCAAGUAUGCGUAUGAGUCGACUGGGAACAUCAUGUCCAAAGUUAGGGGAGUAUAGGUAUCUUAAACCAUGGGAUUUCGUAAAGGUAUCGAAUCCAGGAAUUUUGAAUGAAUACUAGUGUUUAUCAAAGUGCAAACUAAAGUUGUAGGUAUUGGAAUUUGAAAUAUGCAAAAGCGCAUGGACUGUAUGUAAUAACUUUUUUUUAUUUAUGCAGGAUACUUGUUGUAUAAGUGAUAUAUAAAAUUUAUGUUGAUAUGAAAGAGACCAGAAAGGGAGUAAACAUGAAAUAAAAUAUAAAUGAAAAGAAGAUAAAAAAAUAUUUCGACAUCAAAUAGAUAUGAGAAAAGGGCAUAAUCCUCUUGUCCUUUUGUUUUUGAAUUUUUUGAUUGAAGAACGUUUCUAUGAAUGUCUUCGAAAAAAAAAAUCUACUUAGGUAUAUUCAUUCGGGCGCGAAACAAGAGUGAAGUCACCGAUACUGUUCACUGUACCAUAAACUUUCGCUUUAACAUUUCUUCGAGUGAAAGUUCUUAACGCAUGUAUUGUACUUUUGUCACUGGCUAAUCGCUAUCUUUAUCAUAAAUCUUUGUCCUGACAUUUAGCGACACACCCACUAACUUCGUAAUGAAAGUUUCAAACUGCAGAUACUUGUGUAAUCGCAUGAUGGAUGUUUGUUAUCUUGAUAGAAUGUUGACUUGUGCAAAGAUAGGAAACAGAAAAAGUAUAGGUUGAAUUCGUAAUAAUGAGAACCUAGUAUUUUUAAGUGGUUCUUCUCUCAACCUAAAAAUUAUCUAUGUUAUGUAUAAGUACGUCUUAAUAUUAUCUCUCAGUAUUUAUUUGUAUACUUACACUGAAAGAAGAAGUCACAGCGUGAACGUUUUCUAUGUGUCUGUUUGCGGCGUUAUGGUUUCGAAUUGAGUGCUCUUUUGUUACUUAAGAGUUUCUUUCACUGAGAUUGUAUUUUACAUAAUAAUAAUGUAUUACGAGUUUUCAUUUAUAUCUAAAAUAUCUACUGAUACAUAGUUGUGUAGGUACUCUUUAAUAAACGUGUAUGAUGAAUUAAUUUUUAUUAAAAUUGCUUCAAUUUACGAAUAUAAUCAAAAUGCUGAAUUCAUGUAAUAAAAUUCUUUAUUGGCAA